CUUUCGGCUCCUUACAAUCCACCACGUGUCUUCCAUGCAGCCAUCCCUAGACAACUGGAAGCGGAAUGUAGGGCAACUCAUGUUUCGCACACAUGAAAAGAUGAUGAGGCACUGAAUCCUCUACUUGGAAACCAACCAGGGCCGCCCCUGAGGGACCAGCCUGCCUGGGAGUGUAAGGAACGUCUCUGCAGAUCUCCCCAGGUGCCAAGCAUCUCUCCGGGACCCACUCCUGGACUCACUGACGGAGAGCGAUGAAGUCGAGGGUGAAGCCCAGGGCAGUGGCAAGUGACAAACAGAGCCCAUGGGGCCGAGCGUGCCCUGUGCCUCCACGAGGCGCUCCCUCCUGGACUUGGCAAGGUAGUGGGAACCGGGUGAGUGGCUGCAGGAGGUAAGAGUCAGCGUCCUCAUGGCCCCUCUACUUGGCAUGUGUGAGUGGGUAAGCACAGCGGGUGAGCACAGUGUCAUCCUGCUGGCACCUUCACUGAGGCACGAAGAGUGUCAGCUACUAAGCGGGCAAAGCAGGAAGCUCACGUGGUGGCCACUGGGGCAUUCAGAGCCACCUGGCCUUUCCCAGCAAGCUGGGCCACGCCAGUCGGAUCCAAGUAAACGACAGCACCUGGGCCGGACCUGAGCCGUCCAAGAUCCAAGCCCACCUUUCCCCUGAAAGGUGCCUGCGUGGGACAGAAACAGGUUCACAUAUAUGACAGGUGGACAGGAAGGGAGAAGGGACUCGUGUGGCCACAGGGCCAGGUGGUGAGAAAAGGGAUUAUGUGCUCACCAGUGAGCCCUGUACCCAUCAGAGGACUGAUUGCAGCCAACCAGUCCAUCCUAGUUUGCCAACAGAAGGGACUGAAGCACAGGAUGAACACUGACCAAGGGGCCAAUGCGUACAGUGACCACAGCUGCAAAGGACAGUGUGCUCCGGAGAAACUGGAGGAGAUACAUGGAGACAAACACGAAGGCAUCCACGCCAUGCCUGCAGGGUGUACGCUGCCCCCCGCGUCAAGUGGACAAAGAUGA
rnacentral:lncRNA from 1 species